UCUUGUUUGUGAAUAUUGGUGACACUCUUCAUGCCAGCAUGAAUGGAAGGGAGAGACUCAGCUCCCAGGUGCUAUCUGCAGUGGCCCUGAUGAGUCCCUUUUUCAUAUCUAUUUAAGAAGUAUCAAGUAUUAUGAUGGCUAACAUUAUGUUUAAAGCUUAAGUUACUACACUUAAAAGAUCUAUAAAGCAAACAUUUCCUCUACCCUCUAAAAGCUGUACCAGUGAGAAAGGGACCCUGUUAGCCAGCUUGCUUAAGAAUGACUAGAAUGCCUGUGGUUUUUCUUGUAAUUAUCUAGUCUUUUACAAUUUUAAAUAUAUCUGUCCAUUAUUCAAUGUAGCCUCCCCCAGCUUUGAGCAGGCUGGCUCAGACCUGUUCUGGCACCUCCUAGGGUGGAGUCUUCUGACCUAGAUAGGUCUAUUGUUCUGCCAAGACUGCCGGCCACUACUGCUGAGAGGCUGAGAGGCAGAAUCUGUCUUCCUGAGAUAAGCAACAGCCAGGCAACUAAGUGCUGACAACCUGGACCAAGUGCUGACAGGCUGGUGACAAAGCAUCAAGAACCUGGUGUGGCGGGGGAUGGGCCUUCCCCCUUUAUAAGCUCAGACUCUUAGUAAACUAGGGGGGGAGGAGGGUGCGUGGGGGUUGAUCAGAAUUUUGUCUUGGUCUCGUUAUUCCUUCCGCUGUUUCCUCCCAUGCAGCUCCAGCCUCCCAUUCAGGAACCUGAUUCAUGUAGCUGCGGGCGGCUACAAUUCAAGAUAAUGGUCACUAUGCUAACUGUGUGUUUCUGCUUCUGUAAAUAAGCUUGCUUGCUCAAGAUAGCCGAUGACAUCUGUUUGCUAACUGAGCCCCUGCUUACAGGCAGAAUCCUUGCAUGUAGAUAGGAUAUGUGCCACUCCCCACCCCAGAAAGGCUGCAUCUUGAGAAUCCCGACUUUCUGGCGCAAUCCUGGUGCCAAUCUCAAUAAAGCUUCUUCUUUAAAGUUACUCAUGGUCAGAUUGGUGAAUCUCUGAACAACCUGAGACCUGAUGCUUUUUAUCAAAAUUAUA
rnacentral:lncRNA from 1 species